AAACUCGCACUUCCAUUGCACAUUUUCUUCCAUACACCUUUGGUUCACAUUAUUAUUUUCGGAGAAAAUAAAGCGAGCUUGGUCGGCAGCCGGUCGUCGUGAGUGGAGUUUUCAUCGUUGGUAAACUAAAUGGUCUGCAACAUUUGAAGAACUCAAUUUUUCGAUAAUUUUCCUGCAUCGGAAGCUUCAUCGCCGUCGAACACGUUUCCAAACAAACCAACCCACAGACAUUUAAUUGCAGUUGGUAAAUCGAUUGGUAUUUGGUGGCAAAUUAAUAUGAAACCGGGACACGUUCCUCUCUACAUUUACGCCUCCCUGACUACCGGGGGUUGAUGCCCAGGUAAUUUAAUAUCCGGUCCAGUGGAGCGUCACCUGUUAGUUACCUGAUUCCACCUGAAAAUAGCAUCGUCGAUCCUCUGGAUUCACUCGGCUGUUCCACACAUCUGUGUCGCUAUGCUUAGAAACUGCAUCCGAUUCCAAGAACGUGAUACUAGCAAGACAUCGAUCAAGGCUGACAAUGAGCAAUUACGCGACCUAUAAGUGGCGUCGAGAUUCCGUGUCACAGGUCCAGCGGUAAUCGGAGUGAUGAGAACGGCAUCCAGAAAUAUUGUCAGAAGUACGGUCUUCGCAAGGAUGGGGGUUGCGUGGCAUUACCGUCGCGGUGCUCCGAUGACAUCGGCAACUAAUCGGUACCGGCGCCACCCACUACGAGUCCAGUAUCAAAGCCUGCUGCUUCCUUUGAGCUAAUUUCUGCUGCAAUGCCCAUAAGUCAGACUGAUUGGCGUCUCUAAUUUGGGGGGCCGUCACCAUGUGUGCCCAUGCCACACACGGCUGCUGCACCGC
rnacentral:lncRNA from 1 species